GGGCAGAAGCAAGGAUUGGCCAUAGAGAGAAGCAGGAUAUAAUUUUACAGUUUACACUUAACUUGUCCUAUUUAGCUUAACUUAGGUUUUGCAGCCUACAGCAGUAAUUCUAGUUAUACACAUGUUGCCAUGUAUCUUUGCUCCUUCCUUUCCUUCUUAAAAAAUCACCUCUUCACCUCUUUCUGCCUGACUCAAAAGAUCUGCUCUUUAGCCUAAAAUUUUCCCCAGCCUAGUAGCAGUAGUCCUCUUUCUUUAAGCCUGUGGUUACAUUUUAAAAUUCUGAAUGAACCUAAUACUGAAUGUGUAAACAAGUGACUGCUUACUCUGGCCCCUCUCUCCCAUCCUCAUUCCUGUGUGUAAUCAAGAUUGCAGCAGGCUGCCAACCGAACCCCCUCUAAGAAUAAAAAAAAAACAUUACUCUGGGUCUACAGGAGAAAAGUGAAUUAACUCAUAAUGUAACUACCCAGAAUUUUAC
rnacentral:lncRNA from 1 species